rnacentral:rRNA from 1 species
CUACGGGACGCAGCAGCCAGGGAAAUUUUACAAUGCUCGAAAGAGUGAUAGAAUAAGCCAGAGUGUUUCUCUUAGAGAAACUUUUUUCUGCUGUAAAAAUGCAGAAGAAUAAGGACUGGGCAAGACCGGUGCCAGCCGCCGCGGUAAUACCGGCGGUCCGAGUUGCAUCCAUUUUUAUUGGGUCUAAAACAUCCGUAGCUUGAUUUGUAAGUUUCUUGUGAAAUUCUAUAUCUCAAGUAUAGAGCAUGCAAGAAAUACUACAUCUCUAGAGACCGGAGGACGUAACGAGUACGGCCGAGGUAGCGGUAAAAUGUAUUAAUCUUGGUUGGACUAACAAUGGCGAAGGCACGCUACGAGUACGGAUCUGACAGUGAGGGAUGAAGGCUAGGGGCGCAAAACGGAUUAGAUACCCUAGUAGUC